GACGAACGCUGGCGGCGCGCUUAACACAUGCAAGUCGAACGGAAAGGCCUGCUUUCCCUUGUGGAUUGCGGGUACUCGAGUGGCGAACGGGUGAGUAACACGUGAGUGAUCUGCCCCCAACUUGGGUAUAAGCCUGGGAAACUGGGUCUAAUUCCCGAUAGGACUGCAGGGUGGUGCCUGUGGUGGAAAACGAUUUUCUAGUGGUUGGGGAUGAGCUCGCGGCCUAUCAGCUUGUUGGUGGGGUAAUGGCCUACCAAGGCGGCGACGGGUAGCCGGCCUGGGAGGGUGGACGGCCACAUUGGGACUGGGAUACGGCCAAGACGCCUGGGGGAGGGAGGAGUGGGGAAGAUUGCACAAUGGGCGGAAGCCUGAGGCAGCGAGGCCGCGUGGGGGAUGACGGCCUUCGGGUUGUAAACUCCUUGCGACCGCGAGGAAGCCACCUGGUUGGAAGGGUGGUGACGGUAGUGGUAGAAGAAGCACCGGCUAACUACGUG
rnacentral:rRNA from 1 species